ACUCCUACGGGAGGCAGCAGUGGGGAAUAUUGCACAAUGGGGGAAACCCUGAUGCAGGAACGCCGCGUGAGUGAUGACGGUCUUCGGAUUGUAAAGCUCUGUCUUCAGGGACGAUAAUGACGGUACCUGAGGAGGAAGCCACGGCUAACUACGUGCCAGCAGCCGCGGUAAUACGUAGGUGGCAAGCGUUGUCCGGAUUUACUGGGCGUAAAGGGAGCGUAGGUGGAUAUUUAAGUGGGAUGUGAAAUACUCGGGCUUAACCUGGGUGCUGCAUUCCAAACUGGAUAUCUAGAGUGCAGGAGAGGAAAGUAGAAUUCCUAGUGUAGCGGUGAAAUGCGUAGAGAUUAGGAAGAAUACCAGUGGCGAAGGCGACUUUCUGGACUGUAACUGACGCUGAGGCUCGAAAGCGUGGGGAGCAAACAGGAUUAGAUACCCUGGUAGUC
rnacentral:rRNA from 1 species